GAUGAAGAACGCAGCGAAAUGCGAUAAGUAAUGUGAGUUGCAGAAUUCAGUGAAUCAUCGAAUCUUUGAACGCACAUUGCGCCCCUUGGUAUUCCGAGGGGCAUGCCUGUUCGAGCGUCAUUUCAACCCUCAAGCACAGCUUGGUCUUGGGCUUCGCCGCUAACCCGGCGGGUCUUAAAAUCAGUGGCGGUGCCGUCGGGCCCUGAGCGCAGUAAUUUCUCUCGCUAUAGGGUCCCGGCGGAUGCUGGCCAGUAACCCCCAAUUUUCUAUGGUUGACCUCGGAUCAGGUAGGGAUACCCGCUGAACUUAAGCAUAUCAAUAAGCGGAGGA
rnacentral:misc_RNA from 1 species